AUUUGGCAUAUGUUCAACAGCAAUUAAUUUCAUUUCUUCCCCCAAAUAGGCCUAUGUGUGACUAGAGAUGGUGGGAGUAUAAGAAAAAGGACAACUCAUUAUUGAUGUUUCAGAUGCCGUCAUGUUAUGGAUGACACUGGCAGGGACCCCAAGGGAGCCUGUUUACCAAGAUAUACAUGGCUUCUUGCAAAGCCAUUCUUUUUGUUGGAAAAACUCUUCCAGGGAUAAUGUCAGUUUCAUAUAUGGGAAGAACAUAGCCCUCUGGAACCCUAGACAGCCAUGAGGACUCAAAAAAAAACCAAUGUUGAUAGAAACGUUGACCAGGAGGGAGAGACACCAGAAUACAGGCACACAGAGAAGAGGCCACCUGAGGACACAGCCAGAAGGCGCCCGUCUGUAGUUCUUGCCAGACAUCUACCCUGCCAGCACCUUGCUCUUAGACGUCCAGCCUCCAGAACUGUGAGAAUAUAAAUUUCUGUAUUUAACCCACCCAGGCCUUGGUACUUCUGUUUUGGCAACUCUCGCUGACUCAUAUAAUCUACAACGCUUGUCGAUUUCUUAUUUUCUGCUUUUGUCCGUUUCUUGAUCAAUUCUGCAGAAUGAGACACCGUCC
rnacentral:lncRNA from 1 species